rnacentral:rRNA from 1 species
UACGUAGGGGGCAAGCGUUGUCCGGAAUCAUUUGGCGUAAAGCGCGUGUAGGCGGCCCGGUAAGUCCGCUGUGAAAGUCGGGGGCUCAACCCUCGGAUGCCGGUGGAUACUGUCGGGCUAGAGUGCGGGAGAGGCGAGUGGAAUUCCUGGUGUAGCGGUGAAAUGCGCAGAUAUCAGGAGGAACACCAAUUGCGAAGGCAGCUCGCUGGAACGUUACUGACGCUGAGACGCGAAAGCGUGGGGAGCAAACAGG